rnacentral:rRNA from 1 species
CACGGGGGGAGCAAGCGUUGUUCGGAAUCACUGGGCGUAAAGGGCGUGCAGGCGGUCAGGUAAGUGGGAUGUGAAAUGCCCCGGCUCACCCGGGGACCGGCAUCUCAUACUGCUUGGCUUGAGUACGGGAGAGGAUGUGGGAAUUCCUGGUGUAGCGGUGAAAUGCGUAGAUAUCAGGAGGAACACCGGUGGCGAAGGCGCACAUCUGGCCCGAUACUGACGCUGAGGCGCGAAAGCUAGGGGAGCAAACAGG